GCCGCCGUAGCUCAGGGGUAGAGCGCGCCCUUGGUAAGGGCGAGGUCGAAAGUUCGAUUCUUUCCGGCGGCACCA
rnacentral:tRNA from 2 species